rnacentral:rRNA from 1 species
GAUGAACGCUGGCGGCGUGCCUAACACAUGCAAGUCGAACGGAGUCGUUUUGGAAAUCUCUUCGGAGAUGGAAUUCUCGACUUAGUGGCGGACGGGUGAGUAACGCGUGAGCAAUCUGCCUUUAAGAGGGGGAUAACAGUCGGAAACGGCUGCUAAUACCGCAUAAAGCAUUAAAUUCGCAUGUUUUUGAUGCCAAAGGAGCAAUCCGCUUUUAGAUGAGCUCGCGUCUGAUUAGCUAGUUGGCGGGGUAACGGCCCACCAAGGCGACGAUCAGUAGCCGGACUGAGAGGUUGAACGGCCACAUUGGGACUGAGACACGGCCCAGACUCCUACGGGAGGCAGCAGUGGGGAAUAUUGCGCAAUGGGGGAAACUCUGACGCAGCAACGCCGCGUGAUUGAAGAAGGCCUUCGGGUUGUAAAGAUCUUUAAUCAGGGACGAAACAAAUGACGGUACCUGAAGAAUAAGCGCCGGCUAACUACGUG